CACGGGCUGCAGUCAGAGGGUGGGGGGGUGUGGUUCAGGAGCUGCAGCUAUCACUCCCCCUUCAACUGGAAAACCUGAAUGCUUUUUCUGUCCGAGCAUCUCCCAUUAACUCCCACUGGUGUUUCUCUAAAUGUACUUUGCUGUUCUGUUCAGCUCGGCAGCUCUCGCCUGAUCCAGGUAACGUCCCCGUGCGACUCCUCCGCUGUCAGCUGGUGGCUGUCACCGCUGGUUUUGCUCCUUCUGCCCUAAGCCAAUAAAAACCCGGUGAAGAACUUCUUGGCAAGACUUUUAACACUUUCCCUUGGAAGUAUUUAUUUUUCCAUUCCACUCGGACACUUGACACGUGCCAAGGGUGUGCAGAGAGGAGAGGCGGCGGCAGAGGUGGCACCGGCGCUGUUCUGAAGCUGGCUGCCGCGCAGUAAGGCAGGCGACGAGGUGUUUCCCUGCUGAGCCCUUUACAGAACAUCUGGAGCAGCAACAUCUGGCUGAAGUGGCACCCAGAUGGUGCAGGAGGAAACGUCGGGAAAAGCUCAAGCUGUUACCGAGAGAGGGGAGUGCGGGAGGGAAGGCGCAAGCAGAGGAGCAGCGAGAUCCCCGUGAAGGGUUCGCCCUGGAAACGGCGCAGCCACGGAGAUUUUUUUGGUGAAUCCCAACCGUUUGGGGAGCCCCGUGAGCACUUUUUGCAAAGGUAAGCCACACGCUGAAACCCACCCAGAGCCGGGGGGGGUGCGUGUGUGUGGGGGGGGGUCCACAUCCUGCAUCGGUCGCCUCCGCACCCCGAGCCAUCCCCCUCACCUGCAGCAGAGGUAGCAACCGCCGCUGGAUUGGUGCUGAUGUUUGCAGAUAUGCUAAUUGGCUCAUUAAUCAUCACCACCCGCAGCCGUAAUUGGGCUCGUUUCGCACGGAUUCAAGGGGCUUUGGAGAAACAUUGGCUCUUCCCUUACUAGCGAUAAUUUAGUGCGGUAAGUCCCCACACCCCCCCUCUGAAGAAGGCCAUCAGACAUAAAUAACCUCAAACGGGACGAAGCCGGCGCUGCUCUGCCCGAAGCAGCUGAGCUGUGCUUUAACAGUGGAUUCACCUUCCAGUUAUGAGACACGGUAAGACCAGGAAACUCCAGUCCUGACGCCAAAAUUAAAAAAAAAAAAAAAAAAGCAAGCUUCAAGCUGUAUUUCCAGCUCGGCGUCCCUCACGCUGCCCUCUUGCUCGUGUGGCUGCAGAACCUCUGCAUUUUACCAUUUUAUCUGCAAAUGUGGGGCCAGUCUCAGCAUAAGGGGCCUAAAAGAUAAAGACAGAAUUUUUUAGAAGGGGAUGUAGCGGUCGGAUGAGGGGUAAGGGUUUUUAAACUAAAAGAGGACAGAUUUAGAUGAAAUCUAAGGCAGAAAUUCUUCCCUGGGAGGGAGGUGAGGCGCUGGCCCAGGGUGCCCAGAGAGGUGGUAGAUGCCCGAGCGCUGGAGAUGUUCAAAGCCAGGUUGGACGGGGCUUUGCUGGAGUUGAAGAUGGCCCUGCUUGCCGCAGGGGGGGUUGGACUAAGUGGCCUUCAAAAGCCCUUUCCAACCCAAACCCGUUCUGUGAUCCAUUCCCCCACCCAGCCACUCGCUUCGCCGGGGAGCCCGGCAGCCCCAAUCCCACCAUCUGCUCCUCGUGCUGCACCCCCCAGCAGCCACCCCAAAACAUCGAGCCGAGCCUCCGGCCACCACCCCUCAACCCUGCAGGGACCUCCCAGCCCCGGGGCUGAGCUGCAGCACAAGCAGAAAACACCCCUGUCCGCCCAAAAAAAACACCCCUUUGGGUCCCACCACCCGUCCUCAAGCGGGGCCCAGCGCUCCGGCACAGCCCCUUGGCGAAGAAAGGAAGGAGCGGGCAAGGGUUUGGUAUCUUGAAAACAUUUUAUUUCAUCACUAUUCCGUAGUAGCAUAAAUAAUAGGCAAUGACAGCACAUGUAACAAAGAGGGGGAAGCAGUGGGUGCGGGGCACAAUGUAAGUUAACGGAGAGGAGAAACUGGUGUACUGGUAGUGCUGGGCAGUGGAUUUAAUGAAAA